GAUGAAGAACGCAGCGAAAUGCGAUAAUUAAUGUGAAUUGCAGAAUUCAGUGAAUCAUCGAAUCUUUGAACGCACAUUGCGCCCUCUGGUAUUCCGGGGGGCAUGCCUGUUCGAGCGUCAUUAUAACCACUCAAGCUCUCGCUUGGUAUUGGGGUUCGCGGUUCCGCGGCCCCUAAAAUCAGUGGCGGUGCCUGUCGGCUCUACGCGUAGUAAUACUCCUCGCGAUUGAGUCCGGUAGGUCUACUUGCCAGCAACCCCCAAUUUUUACAGGUUGACCUCGGAUCAGGUAGGGAUACCCGCUGAACUUAAGCAUAUCAAUAAGCGGAGGA
rnacentral:misc_RNA from 1 species